rnacentral:misc_RNA from 1 species
CGCAGCCGCGGUAAUUCCAGCUCCAAUAGCGUAUAUUAAAGUUGUUGCAGUUAAAAAGCUCGUAGUUGAAUUUCGGGAUCAAAGGAUCGGUCAUGCCUUGGUAUGUACUGGUUUUAUUGGUUCUCACCUUCUAAAGAACCAUAAUGUCAUUCAUUUGAUGUUAUGGGAAAUUAGGACUGUUACCUUGAAAAAAUUAGAGUGUUUAAAGCAGGCUUACGCUUGAAUACAUUAGCAUGGAAUAAUGAAAUAGGACAUCAGAUUCUAUUUUGUUGGUUUCUAGGAUCGAUGUAAUGAUUAAUAGGGAUAGUUGGGGGCAUUAGUAUUCAAUUGUCAGAGGUGAAAUUCUUGGAUUUAUUGAAGACUAACUACUGCGAAAGCAUUUGCCAAGGAUGUUUUCAUUAAUCAAGAACGAAAGUUGGGGGAUCGAAGACGAUCAGAUACCGUCGUAGUCUUAACCAUAAACUAUGCCGACUAGGGAUCGGAUGAUGUUAAUUUAUAAUGACUCAUUCGGA